CUUAGCCCGCACCUCGGCGCUCGCGGAAUCGGCUCGCGCGGCUCUGGGGCGGCAUGGACGGGGCUGCCUUGGGUCGCGCGCGGCACCGCGGUGACGUCACUCUUGCGCGCGCUGUAGGCGUGGCCUAAAUUUGAACGCAGUUGGCGGGAGCCGAGGCUGAGGGCGAGUCCAGGGCGCUGUCCUGCGAUGGAGCCCUCCUCCGGGAGCAAGGAGUAUACAGAAGGCACGGCGACCGGGGAGUGGAUGAAUACAAUCCCGGUUCCAAGACCACCCUCCAUUGAAGAAUUCACCAUAGUGAAGCCCAUUAGUCGUGGUGCCUUCGGGAAAGUGUAUCUGGGGCAGAAAGGCGACAAGUUGUACGCAGUCAAGCCAGGAGUGAUGGCACAUGCCUAUAAUUCAAGCACUUGGGAGGCUGAGGCAGAAGGAUCCUUGUGAGUUCAAGACCAGCCUCAAUUACAAAAGUGAUCUUAAAGCCAACCUGAACUGCACACAGCAACACUGACUCAAGAAAAGACCCCCCCAAUGUGCUUUGUUACACAACUAUACUAUAAUGCCCAAAUACUCUAUAAGUAAUGGAAUAUCUUUUUGGUGGAGAUGUCAAGUCUCUUCUUCAUAUAUAUGCUUAUUUUGAUGAAGAGAUGGCUGUGAAGUAUAUUUCUGAAGUAGGGCUGGCUCUCAACUAACUUCAUAGACAUGAAAUCAUCCAGAGGUAAAUCAAAUUAUGUGUUAAAUGUUUGGAUAUCAAAUAUUUACUGUAACCAUUUGCCCAUAUUUCCAGAUUAAGGUUUAAUAGUAACUUGUGUGAGUUUAGAAAUUCUCUUACCUACUGUUUUGUCUCCCUGUGUUUGAAAUUAUGUUACUUUGAAUAUGAACAUAAUAUUUCAGUGGAAAGAUUUCAGUUCUUUUCCACUCUUUUGCCCUCAUACAAAAGUUCCAUACUGUAUAGUCCUAGCUGAUUUACACUACUUUGUUCUGUGCAAAGAAAGGUUAAGUUACUCUGCUCUGUUAAAGCUUAAUCUUACAUUAACAGAAAAGAAGAUACACAAUUUUGAACUGGCUUGUGGAUUAUUUUAUGUAAUGUGAUUUAUUUAUUUUUCAUGGAAAAUAUAACAAUGUCACAGAUAAUCUAAAAUUAAAUCAUUUAACAUUUUGUG